rnacentral:rRNA from 1 species
AGUGAACGCUGGCGGUAGGCCUAACACAUGCAAGUCGAACGGCAGCACAGGAGAGCUUGCUCUCUGGGUGGCGAGUGGCGGACGGGUGAGGAAUACAUCGGAAUCUACUCUGUCGUGGGGGAUAACGUAGGGAAACUUACGCUAAUACCGCAUACGACCUACGGGUGAAAGCAGGGGACCUUCGGGCCUUGCGCGAUUGAAUGAGCCGAUGUCGGAUUAGCUAGUUGGCGGGGUAAAGGCCCACCAAGGCGACGAUCCGUAGCUGGUCUGAGAGGAUGAUCAGCCACACUGGAACUGAGACACGGUCCAGACACCUACGGGAGGCAGCAGUGGGGAAUAUUGGACAAUGAGCGCAAGCCUGAUCCAGCCAUACCGCGUGGGUGAAGAAGGCCUUCGGGUUGUAAAGCCCUUUUGUUGGGAAAGAAAUCCAGCUGGCUAAUACCCGGUUGGGAUGACGGUACCCAAAGAAUAAGCACCGGCUAACUUCGUGCCAGCAGCCGCCGUAA